UACGGAGGGUGCAAGCGUUAUCCGGAUUCACUGGGUUUAAAGGGUGCGUAGGCGGGCAUUUAAGUCAGUGGUGAAAUACCUGAGCUUAACUUGGGAACUGCCAUUGAUACUAUUUGUCUUGAAUGUCGUGGAGGUUAGCGGAAUAUGUCAUGUAGCGGUGGAAUGCUUAGAUAUGACAUAGAACACCUAUUGCGAAGGCAGCUAACUACGCGAAUAUUGACGCUGAGGCACGAAAGCGUGGGGAUCAAACAGG
rnacentral:rRNA from 1 species